AUACUUACCUGGCAGGGGAGACACCAUGAUCAAGAAGGUGGUUCACUCAGGGCGAGACUUGGCCAUUGCACGCCGGCCGUGCUGACCGCUGCAAAUUCCCCAAAUUUAGGAACCUCAGACUGCAUUUGUGCUCUUGGGGCAGUCGUGGCCUAA
rnacentral:snRNA from 1 species